GACGAACGCUGGCGGCGUGCUUAACACAUGCAAGUCGAACGGAAAGGCCCUGCUUUUGUGGGGUGCUCGAGUGGCGAACGGGUGAGUAACACGUGAGUAACCUGCCCUUGACUUUGGGAUAACUUCAGGAAACUGGGGCUAAUACCGGAUAGGAGCUCCUGCUGCAUUGUGGGGGUUGGAAAGUUUCGGCGGUUGGGGAUGGACUCGCGGCUUAUCAGCUUGUUGGUGGGGUAGUGGCUUACCAAGGCUUUGACGGGUAGCCGGCCUGAGAGGGUGACCGGCCACAUUGGGACUGAGAUACGGCCCAGACUCCUACGGGAGGCAGCAGUGGGGAAUAUUGCACAAUGGGCGGAAGCCUGAUGCAGCAACGCCGCGUGCGGGAUGACGGCCUUCGGGUUGUAAACCGCUUUCGCCUGUGACGAUGCGUGAGUGACGGUAAUGGGUAAAGAAGCACCGGCUAACUACGUG
rnacentral:rRNA from 1 species